rnacentral:rRNA from 1 species
ACCCUUUAAUGUUUGAUGUUCUAACGUGGACCCGUGAUCCGGGUUGCGGACAGUGUCUGGUGGGUAGUUUGACUGGGGCGGUCUCCUCCUAAAGAGUAACGGAGGAGCACGAAGGUUGGCUAAUCCUGGUCGGACAUCAGGAGGUUAGUGCAAUGGCAUAAGCCAGCUUGACUGCGAGCGUGACGGCGCGAGCAGGUGCGAAAGCAGGUCAUAGUGAUCCGGUGGUUCUGAAUGGAAGGGCCAUCGCUCAACGGAUAAAAGGUACUCCGGGGAUAACAGGCUGAUACCGCCCAAGAGUUCAUAUCGACGGCGGUGUUUGGCACCUCGAUGUCGGCUCAUCACAUCCUGGGGCUGAAGUAGGUCCCAAGGGUAUGGCUGUUCGCCAUUUAAAGUGGUACGCGAGCUGGGUUUAGAACGUCGUGAGACAGUUCGGUCCCUAUCUGCCGUGGGCG